UCGGAAAACAACUAAAGUAUGCUGCUAACAAACAAUAACUAGCCCCAAUUGUUUAACUUUUAAACUAUCCUCUUUGAACUGCUGGAUCUGAAUAAAUGGGUUGGAUGGAUGUCUUCGAUAGUCCAGCAAUCGAAUUGCAAGUUGUUCAUAUGCUAACAAUCCAAAAAUUCAGCUUAAAAAGAUAUUGCACUGCUACCCUCAGUUUUCAUCAUUCUUAGAGGGGGUCAGAACAAGCAAUGGAACCUGUAUUUAUCCUCUCUGUGGGUGGAAAAAAUAUCCUGCCGCAAAUAACGACAGACCUCAAAUAAAUCCUUCUGGAAGUUCACCAAGUAUGACGUUUUCGAAUGCUGUGGUCGCAUAAUCCUCACUGAUGGGGUUAUCUCCAAGUUAUUUACAGAAUACAACCAUAUCCCAGAUCCGAAAGGUGAUGAAUGGCCUGAAGGGGAGAAGACUGAAGACCCAGGAAGAAACCGACCAAGUUGUGGACCGUGGUACACAUUGUUUGCCUGCAUGUAUGUAUUUGGGGAGAAAUGCCCUUUCUGAAGAACAUGAGUUGGCGCAGAGGCACCGACAGAAGAACAACACGGCACCCCCUGUACCUACAUCCCUCUCCAAACUCGUCAUCCCAGCUGCUAGUAUCCACACAGCUCUGUCUUCUGUGCCUGGAGCAGUCUGGACUGGUUGAAGCCGAGUUGGACAGAUUAUUUUCAAAGCGUUUCAGACAAGUCUGCUGUGAAUCAUCAUAAUCAAUAUACUAUACCGCAUAAACUUGCUCUCCGCCACCAGUACAAGGAGAUGAUCGAAGGUGAACAAGCAAUACUUCAGCCUGGUGUUGUUGUAGGCAAGGAGCUUUCACUCAGAUGGAACCAGAUUUCAGCUGCUGUGCAAUGUUGAAGUCCUUCCUCCCAGAGAUGUAAAAGCAUCCCCCGGACGAGACACAACCCGGCAAACAUAGAUUUUUGAGAAGAUCAGAAUAUUUGCAAUGAAAAGGCCAUGGACAUUACAUGUCCUGCUCUAAAGGCUAGAUUCCUUUCUUCAUAUCAUAACAUGACCUGAACCACAGUUACUCAAAGAAUCUUAUGAUAUAGGUCUAGAUAUUGUUUUUACCUUUAUUAUACAACAAUAGACAAUUUCAUACAGUAAAUGGUUUGGUUAAUGGGGUAACUUGGUGACAUAAUGUUCAGAGAAUCCAUUUAGGCAAUUUGGUGAAAGUAUUAAUGUUCUAAAUAUACUGUAUGUUCUCCAAGGAUUAAUGUAGAUCAGGUGUGAAAAUCACAGCAAAAUGUUUGCAUGCCUUUUUCUCCUAAAUUGGAUAUUAGAUUUUUCAACUUUUAAAGCAGCAUUACUUCCACAUGUUUCCUCCAACUAAAGUGUAUGAUAUUCCCUUUUGAAGCUCUGUACAAAAAACAAUUUGAAAUGUUUUAACAUUUAGUAAUCAACAAAUAAAAAAAAUAAUGGGGCAAAAAAUACGGAAAAAUAAGAGAAAGCUACAUGACAAUGCAGUGCCAUUAAAAACAAGUUCACAAACUUUCCGCCAUGUUGAGGCGGAUCCGCACCCGUGUUGAGACUGCCGGGGAGAUGCGUCACCCAGAGUGAGGGAAAGUGCUCACUGCUCCACACCAGUAGGGAGCGAGCCAAGAAAAAGAUGGGGUGAGACCACACCAUCCCUGUCUGUUGAUGUAUGCCACCUUUUGGGAUAUAACUUGACCCAUGGGGGUCCCCAGUGACAACAGCCGCGAGUCCUUCCACUGUGCUAGAGCACGUAGACAGGACGGGGACACCAGUAGUGACCGGUUUAGGUGGCGCGAUGUGUACAAGCGAGUGUAUUCCCCACCACCUUUAAAGGUCGCAUCAGCAACAGCCCGAAAGGAACCACAGCUUUCAUAGAAGCCAUCAUCCCCAAUAUGCGCAGGCAGCUGAAAUUGAGCGAAGCCGGAAACCGGUCUUCCUCUGCAAGGAUAAGAACGCACAAUUCUCGACCGAGUCUAACUCAAGACCCAGAAACGGAAUCCGUUGUGGACUCAAACAUCUCUUCUAUUGAUUGACUAUGAAACCCAGAAACUGAACAUGGGAAACCAGCAUGGAUGUGUGUAACACCCCCUGCUCCCUUGGCUCUGCCACCACCAGCCAAUUGUCCAGGUUGUCCAAUAUCCUGAGCCCCAGACACCGCAUCGGUACCAAACUCAGCUCCACAACCUUUGUGAAAGUGCGAGGCGAGAGGGAAAGCCCGAAAGGGAGCCUCAGGACCUUUCUGUGAGGGGAAUAUAUGGCCAUGAAUGUACGCCUCCUUCAGGUCGAUGGAGGUGAACCAAUUGCCCCGGCGCACUGACUGUAACUGUAACAACUGGCUGUUCGUGAGCAUUCUGAAUUUGUAGAUGCAGGUGUGCUUGUUUAGGAUACACAGGUCUAAAAAGGGAUGCAAAGUACAAACCAGGAAAUACUGGCUAUACCAGCCGUCCUGGGCCUCUGACAUAGGAACCAUUCGGUUUGCCUACUUCUGGAGAAGGGAAGAAAUCUCCCUCUAAAUGGGCAUUGAGGCUUCAGGAAUAGUUGACAUAAUGAUGCCUUUAAAUCCUUGGGGACGCACAAUGAAUUGUAGCCUGUACCCCAUGUCACUGUUUGCAUAAUCCAGGGCAACACUGCGCAUGCAAGCCAUUGGUCUACACAGAGAGUCUCCCAUAAAGUGCCAUCAAAACGGGUUCAACGACACCUUGUGGGCUCUGAGAAUUUGGUUAUUUUUCCAUGCCUUUUUUAAUUUACACAACUCUCGAAAAGAGAGUGUCUGACUGUGUGGGAAACAAACUAUUUUUAUUAAGCUCACAUGGAGGACACAACCCUCUUGACACCCGUGAACACCGUGGAACUUGAAAUAAUACUUAAUGUGUUUAAGUGAAGAUGUUUGCCUGAAGCCCGGUCCACUCUGGGUUCGGGGGCUUCGGCUACCAGUGACGUACCCGAUAUACCUUGCCACUAAGGGGUACUGUUGUCACAGCGAACAUCUGAAGAGGGGACCAUGCCCCCUCCCCUCUCACCAGGUGCACGGGGGCUGCUGCCUACCCGCCCCAGCCCCUCCAUCCUCUCCACAUCCACGAAGUGGGAAUACCCUUGCAACAUCAGCUUGGUUGAAUGUGGCUGGGCUCAGGUUGUCUUAAGCUCACUUCACAAAACUAGUUACCAAUUAACACACAACGUGCAGAAGAAUGAGCACGCCCUCCUUAAGUGGGACAGUUAAGUUGGAGUAAAGAUGUUCCAAUGUUUGUUUUUUAAAGAAAGGCAUGAAUUGUUCUGCUCAGCUCAAGGUGAAGAGCAGAAGAAUUUACGGAACUCAUCCGUGACUUGGGUUUAUCACCUGUGGAAGGUGGUGCUUGUAAUGAGGCACGGUGUUCAUUGGCCUUGUCAGACGUGAUUCAAAUGUUCUUCAGUAAAGGGCGCUGGUGCGCGAACUCUCCCUAGCCUUGUACCGAGUUGACCGACUGAAAGUUGAACUAUCAUUGAGGACUAUGACCCUCCGAUGAGCUCCACAACUAGUCAUUCAUAUACCCUGGUUGCUUGUUGUUUGAUUUGAAAUCCCCACAGCUGUUAAGGUUUUUCCUCCAGAGAAAAUACAAAUAUUUACCAGAGGCUCCCAUAGUGCCCGGGAGCUGAGACUCGAGCACACCGUGUAGUCUGUGCCUGGCAGAGGGUUCAUAAUGCAGCCUGAGUUGUUGUCUCACCGGAGCCCGCUGCUUCGCGCCUGCAAGGCUUCCGGGGCUGCUAAAUGUGGGAGUUAUUUCCUUCAAUGAUUUAUUAGGUUAUCUCUACACCAUUGCCCUGGGAUUUCAAGUGGGCUGCAGAGUGAAAAAAUGAGAGGAGGCCUAAGCUUAAUCAUCCCAACACUCCUGUUCUGACUCGCUCACUUUGCAAGAAUGCAUAUUCACAUCACUAGCCUAAAACACACAUCAAAGCAUUACAUUCUUUUUUGAUGUGUAGGUUAUUCAUUUAACGAAUGAUUGCCUUUUGUAUUUCCAUAACGCUGUUAGACUGUAGCAAACAAAUUACACAUACCGAAGGUCGGUUUCAAAGUGCAAUUCCCUCAUUAGUCACAUGUCUGUGCUGUUGUUUGGUCUAGACGGGCAGUGGAUGCCAUCAGAACAUUUACAAUGUCUGAGUGUCAACUUGUUCCCACAUUUCUGUUGAUUUGUUUUGCUCAUAGGUCAAAGUCUUUAAUAUUUUGCAUGAUAGUAACAUUACUCCCUGUAUUCUGUAAGGAUACAUUUUUAUAGUCACCCUAUGUUUUUCAAUGGACAAUAAACACUGUAGCCUAACUUGACUGAACUUGACAGACAAAAAGAGCAUUUCAGAUGCUUCCCCUAUUUAGCCUUAAUUCAUGUGGAAGAAAGUAGGGCCAUUUUCCACAUGAGUUCAGUUUAUGCCGACCCCUUUAGCUGAUCAGUGAAUUGGAUUCCUCGGAACACGUGCUUUUUUGGUUUACUUGAAUUUAUUGAAGAGCUCUGUUAUGACUCCAUUUUCUCUGUAGCCCCAUUGCUUCUGAACAUCUUGCAUCAGUACACAGUCAUCUGUGUCCUGGCAUAGGCUGCAAAUGUAGUCAUGGGAGACUAUUUUACCACAAUGAUAAAGAAGUGCUUUGGAAUUUGAUUGCAUCAUUUUGUCUCUUGAUAACAUUUGUCUCUCCUCAUGAAUGAUUUCAUUGCCUGGGUGUGGGCCAUUGUUUUAUUUACAGAUGCCAAAAUGCAAAACGUGUCACUGCUUGACACCACAGGACGUGAUGGAUUUUUCAUGCCACUUCACCCAUGUACUUAAACUGAGUCAUCAACCAAUUAUAUGAUAGUACUGAAUCAUCUCUCUAAGUAGAGGACUUUGAAACACUGACCUGCAAUUACUUUAAUAGGUUAAUAUUUACUUUUGACCUGCAAUUACUUGAAUAGGUUAAUAUAAUUCUCUCGUGAAAUAUACUAUAUCUAACGGGCAUUCAGAUGGUUCCAGCCAUAUUGUGUAUGGGGAAUCAAUACCCACAGUAUCAUUGGAUAAGAUAAUAAGAACGUCCAUCGAUAUGCUGCACGCUAUUUUAGAUUACUCUGGAGCUUUUUGACAACACAGUGUCCAGGUGCCCGACUCACUGCUGAAAAAUAUGUUACUAUUGAAAUACAACCGCUAUCAACAUGAUCACCUUUGUUGUAAUUAUAUAGUAGCCAAAAGGCUUAGUAUCUGUUACAUGUUUUUCAAGUAUGAGAUCUUUGCUAAACCUAUGAGAGACAUUUGAAUGUCUUUACAGGGCUGUGAAUGUGAGGAAGCUAUCAGGUCUGAGUGCUCUGAUUAUCAGUCCUCACACUUGAUAGCCCAUCUCCUCUACAAUGAAAGGGGAAAUGGCAGUAAUGGUGAGAGAAAAAUGCAAUUUAGAUGUGAGACAAACUCUUGAUAAACUACUUACAAAAGCCAUGCAGUUUCACAUUUCCACUUAGACUGAACAUUGAAACAUAACUGGCCCCCAUCUAUUGAUUUUCCUCAUUCUUCUCAAUAUCAUCAGGCUGUUGAUAGGAUUUACACCAGAAGACAGUCAAGGAAGACAGUCAGAGAAGGCUGGAAGAGAAGCCCUCCUCCAGGAUAGAGGGGCAUAUGGUAGAUCGCAGGUUUUCUUUCUAUUUGCCCCAUUAGUUAGAGCCUACCUUGGAGGGAGAACAUGGAGAUAGAACACAGUGGUGUAUCUGCAGUAGAGCAAGUCUGUGAUGCCAGUUUUGCCAUGGACGAGCACCAAUUAGAUCAACAGAAGUGAGUUGUUGUUUUUUUGUUACUUUAUUUUAUAUUAAUCUACUCCAGCGUGCUGAUAUGACUGAAGAUACUGUAGAGUACAAUGAUUUGGAUACUGCAAUACUUUGUAUGUAGUGCUACACAUGAAAUAUGCAUGUGUUAUUACUGUGUUAUUGCGCUGUCUGCAGGUUAUUUUUUAAGCACAUUUCUAGUGUUAGUAUUUUCACAAUCUUUGUAAUGUGCAAAGUUAUCACAGUUAACAGGUGGAUGUAUUUUAGUUAAGGGUCUUCACAGCUGUAGCAAUAUUCAAGUAGGAUAUAUGCAAAACAUUGUGUGUGUAAGCCAAGAGCAGAUGACUGUUUAGGUCUGCCUUAGAAUAUAUUUGUUAGGUAGACAAAACAAGGACAUUUGAAAAAAGCAGAGCCGCUCACUCGGAGCUCAGAUGCAAUCAUUUUAGAACCAACGUUUCGACAGCCAAGCUGUCUUCAUCAGGGUACAGUGAUGAACUGCGGGUCACUAGUUUAUAUAGUUUGAAAGGAGACGCACAGGUGUCUGUAAUCAUGGCCGGCUGCGGCUUGAUUUCAUUGGUCGAUUUACAGAUAUAAAUAGAACAUAUAAAAAAGAGGAAUGGAUUACAUAAUAUCAUAGAUACAAUUUGGCCACAUACUGCAGGCCUACAAAUAUUAUUUACAAUGGAUAGCAAAAACACAAUAAUCACAAAAACCAUAUGAUUUCUAGCUUUGACAAUUGAGCCAGUCAUGCUUUAAAAAGGUUCCAGCAGCCAGUCUGCUAAUUUCUAAGUGACACCCUGGGCUUUGUGACCUUACUGGCUUUCCAUGGCCACAUUGAUUUUCCUCCCACAUUACAGAUAAUUGCUGGGUACUGUGAAUCCUAUCCUCCCAGAGCUGUAACAGGGAGGUGCUGUAGUGUGUAGAGAGCUGCUAUCUGAUAUUGGGAAGAUGAUAGACCUUCAUCUCAUUGACUGUUGGGUUUCACUGGAAAACCUCCAUUCUCUGCUAGGAGUAGAGAAACAGUUAUAGACACUAUAGAGUGGAGUUGAUGUAGUUAUUAUAGAGUUUGUUAUGAACUUAAAUUGUAUUUAAUUAAUUAUGAAUCUUGUUUUCAAAUAAUUAUGAACCUUGUUUUCAAAAAGAUUACUGUAUCAUGAAAAUGAGAUACCAAGAAAUGGGCUACAUAAAAGUUUGAAGUUUAGAUUCAGAACCGAGAGGGAGUAUUUUACACACUCAUAACGAUGUAACCUUUCUCUGACUUCCAUGCAAUAUAGUAUUUCCAUAUAGCUAAUAUCAUUCAUGAGAAUAAUGUUCAAUUUUAUGAAGAUUUCAUUCUAAUUGGUCAACAUAUAAUAAUACACUUUUCAAAUUGUGAAACAAAUCACACUAUUGGUCCAAUAAAUUGAGUCAGUGGGUUUUGUGAAUACAUUAGUCACCUUUAGUACAGUGUUUGGUGUCUCCCGGAGCUGUAGUUAAUAUUUUUAUAAUUCUGCUGUUUUGCAUGGUGUAACUGUCAUCGUUUUAUGCAAAUCACUGCAUAUCACUGCUCUAUAAACUCGAACAAAGACACUUUCCCCCCCUCCUAAUGUCACAAACAAAACUAUUUUGUAAAACUAACUCACUGCGAGUGAAUCACUUAUUUGAUGGUUUGUAGACAUUUUCAUGUCCGUCAUGUACAGAGUAGUCAUUUAUGUGUAGUUGGUGACUAUUGUAUGGUUAUUUUGUGGCUAUUAGUGUACCAUCCUUGUUAUUUGUUUUAUUAUGUUAUAUAUGCCUAAGUGUCACGCCCUGACCAUAGAUUGCUUUGUAUGUUUCUAUGUUUUGUUUGGUCAGGGUAUGAUGUGGGUGGGCAUUCUAUGUUGUAUGUCUAGGUUGUCUAUUUCUGUGUUUGGCCUGGUGUGGUUCCCAAUCAGAGGCAGCUGUCUAUCGUUGUCUCUGAUUGGGAGCUAUACUUAGGUAGCCUGUUUUCCAUUAUGUGUUGUGGGUGAUUGUUUUCUGUUUGUGCGUAUUGCUUUCAGAACUGUUUCGUUUUCGUUCUCUCUCUUUAUUAAUUUUUGUCAAUUCAGUGUUCAGUUUAUUUUGUUUAUUAAAAUGAACACGUACCACGCUG